CCUACGGGUGGCAGCAGUGAGGAAUAUUGGUCAAUGGCCGGGAGGCUGAACCAGCCAAGCCGCGUGAAGGACGAAGGUGCCACGGAUUGUAAACCUCUUUUGCCAGGGGGCAAAAUCAGGCUCGAGAGCCUGCCCGAGGGUACUUGGAGAAAAAGCAUCGGCUAAAUCCGUGCCAGCAGCCGCGGUAAUACGGAGGAUGCGAGCGUUAUCCGGAUUUAUUGGGGUUAAAGGGUGCGUAGGCGGACAGUUAAGUCAGCGGGAAAAGCCCGGGGCUAAACCCCGGCGAGCCGUUGAAAAUGGCGGUCUUGAGAGGGCGAGAGGUAUGCGGAAUGCGCAGUGUAGCGGUGAAAUGCGUAGAUA
rnacentral:rRNA from 1 species